GAUGAACGCUGGCGGCGUGCCUAAUACAUGCAAGUCGAGCGAACAGACGAGGAGCUUGCUCCUCUGACGUUAGCGGCGGACGGGUGAGUAACACGUGGAUAACCUACCUAUAAGACUGGGAUAACUUCGGGAAACCGGAGCUAAUACCGGAUAAUAUAUUGAACCGCAUGGUUCAAUAGUGAAAGACGGUUUUACUGUCACUUAUAGAUGGAUCCGCGCCGCAUUAGCUAGUUGGUAAGGUAACGGCUUACCAAGGCAACGAUGCGUAGCCGACCUGAGAGGGUGAUCGGCCACACUGGAACUGAGACACGGUCCAGACGCCUACGGGAGGCAGCAGUAGGGAAUCUUCCGCAAUGGGCGAAAGCCUGACGGAGCAACGCCGCGUGAGUGAUGAAGGUCUUCGGAUCGUAAAACUCUGUUAUUAGGGAAGAACAAAUGUGUAAGUAACUAUGCACGUCUUGACGGUACCUAAUCAGAAAGCCACGGCUAACUACGUG
rnacentral:rRNA from 1 species